rnacentral:rRNA from 1 species
AUUGAACGCUGGCGGCAGGCCUAACACAUGCAAGUCGAGCGGAUGAAGGGAGCUUGCUCCUGGAUUCAGCGGCGGACGGGUGAGUAAUGCCUAGGAAUCUGCCUGGUAGUGGGGGAUAACGUCCGGAAACGUGCGCUAAUACCGCAUACGUCCUGAGGGAGAAAGUGUGGGAUCUUCGGACCUCACGCUAUCAGAUGAGCCUAGGUCGGAUUAGCUAGUUGGUGGGGUAAAGGCCUACCAAGGCGACUAUCCGUAACUGGUCUGAGAGGAUGAUCAGUCACACUGGAACUGAGACACGGUCCUGACUCCUACGGGAGGCAGCAGUGGGGAAUAUUGGAAAAUGGGCGAAAGCCUGAUCCAGCCAUGCCGCGUGUGUGAAGAAGGUCUUCGGAUUGUAAAGCACUUUAAGUUGGGAGGAAGGGCAGUAAGUUAAUACCUUGCUGUUUUGACGUUACCAACAGAAUAAGCACCGGCUAACUUCGUG